rnacentral:rRNA from 1 species
GAUGAACGCUGGCGGCGUGCCUAAUACAUGCAAGUCGAGCGAACAGAUGAGGAGCUUGCUCCUCUGACGUUAGCGGCGGACGGGUGAGUAACACGUGGAUAACCUACCUAUAAGACUGGGAUAACUUCGGGAAACCGGAGCUAAUACCGGAUAAUAUAUUGAACCGCAUGGUUCAAUAGUGAAAGACGGUUUUGCUGUCACUUAUAGAUGGAUCCGCGCCGCAUUAGCUAGUUGGUAAGGCAACGGCUUACAAGGCAACGAUGCGUAGCCGACCUGAGAGGGUGAUCGGCCACACUGGAACUGAGACACGGUCCAGACUCCUACGGGAGGCAGCAGUAGGGAAUCUUCCGCAAUGGGCGAAAGCCUGACGGAGCAACGCCGCGUGAGUGAUGAAGGUCUUCGGAUCGUAAAACUCUGUUAUUAGGGAAGAACAAAUGUGUAAGUAACUAUGCACGUCUUGACGGUACCUAAUCAGAAAGCCACGGCUAACUACGUG